AAUGGACGCAAGUCUGAUGGAGCAACGCCGCGUGAGUGAAGAAGGGUUUCGGCUCGUAAAGCUCUGUUGUUAAAGAAGAACGUGGGUGAGAGUAACUGUUCACCCAGUGACGGUAUUUAACCAGAAAGCCACGGCUAACUACGUGCCAGCAGCCGCGGUAAUACGUAGGUGGCAAGCGUUAUCCGGAUUUAUUGGGCGUAAAGCGAGCGCAGGCGGUCUUUUAAGUCUAAUGUGAAAGCCUUCGGCUCAACCGAAGAAGUGCAUUGGAAACUGGGAGACUUGAGUGCAGAAGAGGACAGUGGAACUCCAUGUGUAGCGGUGAAAUGCGUAGAUAUAUGGAAGAACACCAGUGGCGAAGGCGGCUGUCUGGUCUGUAACUGACGCUGAGGCUCGAAAGCAUGGGUAGCGAACAGGAUUAGAUACCCUGGUAGUCCAUGCCGUAAACGAUGAUUACUAAGUGUUGGAGGGUUUCCGCCCUUCAGUGCUGCAGCUAACGCAUUAAGUAAUCCGCCUGGGGAGUACGACCGCAAGGUUGAAACUCAAAAGAAUUGACGGGGGCCCGCACAAGCGGUGGAGCAUGUGGUUUAAUUCGAAGCUACGCGAAGAACCUUACCAGGUCUUGACAUCUUCUGCCAACCUAAGAGAUUAGGCGUUCCCUUCGGGGACAGAAUGACAGGUGGUGCAUGGUUGUCGUCAGCUCGUGUCGUGAGAUGUUGGGUUAAGUCCCGCAACGAGCGCAACCCUUAUUACUAGUUGCCAGCAUUCAGUUGGGCACUCUAGUGAGACUGCCGGUGACAAACCGGAGGAAGGUGGGGACGACGUCAAAUCAUCAUGCCCCUUAUGACCUGGGCUACACACGUGCUACAAUGGAUGGUACAACGAGUCGCGAAACCGCGAGGUUUAGCUAAUCUCUUAAAACCAUUCUCAGUUCGGACUGUAGGCUGCAACUCGCCUACACGAAGUCGGAAUCGCUAGUAAUCGCGGAUCAGCAUGCCGCGGUGAAUACGUUCCCGGGCCUUGUACACACCGCCCGUCACACCAUGAGAGUUUGUAACACCCAAAGCCGGUGGGGUAACC
rnacentral:rRNA from 1 species